GACGAACGCUGGCGGCGUGCUUAACACAUGCAAGUCGAACGGAAAGGCCCUUCGGGGUACUCGAGUGGCGAACGGGUGAGUAACACGUGGGUGAUCUGCCCUGCACUUUGGGAUAAGCCUGGGAAACUGGGUCUAAUACCGAAUAGGACCACGCGCUUCAUGGUGUGUGGUGGAAAGCUUUUGCGGUGUGGGAUGGGCCCGCGGCCUAUCAGUUUGUUGGUGGGGUAAUGUCCUCCCAAGGCGACGACGGGUAGCGGGCCUGAGAGGGUGACCGGCCACACUGGGACUGAGAUACGGCCCAGACUCCUACGGGAGGCAGCAGUGGGGAAUAUUGAACAAUGGGCGCAAGCCUGAUGCAGCGACGCCGCGUGAGGGAUGACGGCCUUCGGGUUGUAAACCUCUUUCACCAGGGACGAAGCGUAAGUGACGGUACCUGGAGAAGAAGCACCGGCCAACUACGUG
rnacentral:rRNA from 1 species